rnacentral:rRNA from 1 species
GCCCCUUAUGACCUGGGCUACACACGUACUACAAUGGCCGGUACAACGGGAAGCGAAGGAGCGAUCUGGAGCCAAUCCUAGAAAAGCCGGUCUCAGUUCGGAUUGUAGGCUGCAACUCGCCUACAUGAAGUCGGAAUUGCUAGUAAUCGCGGAUCAGCAUGCCGCGGUGAAUACGUUCCCGGGUCUUGUACACACCGCCCGUCACACCACGAGAGUUUACAACACCCGAAGUCGGUGAGGUAACCGCAAGGAGCCAGCCGCCGAAGGUGGGGUAGAUGAUUGGGGUGAAGUCGUAACAAGGUAGCCGUAUCGGAAGGUGCGGCUGGAUCACCUCCUUUCUAUGGAGA